CCUUGAGGACGUCAUCACCGCCAUUGAUCUCUCGCACAAGACCCUCUCCAGGAUCCGGCUGAACUACGUGUGGGCCCUGGGCUACAACGUCCUGGGCAUGCCGAUCGCCGUUGGCGUCCUGAUCCCUUUCACGGGCGUCGUCUGCUCCUCCAGCUCUACAAGAAAUCGCUGCACGUUGAAGACGCGCCCAGGCCCAGGGAGGACUCAGAUUUGGUGUGACUGCGAGUGAGUACUGAUCCCUCGAUCUCGAUGUGUACUAAUGAGAGCAUGUUGGCGUCACUGAUGCUUAACCAGCCAACACCUGAUCGAUCCGUGUACAGCAAGCAACACGUUUUGGAACAGUUCGCCAAUUGAUUGUGCAAUAAUUUAAGACAAGGUUUUCUCGGCUUUUGGGUAUGUUCAUAAAAUAGCCACCUAUGAAAAGGCUGCAGGUUUUCAGGCAUUGAUCCAGUACACUGAUGCAGCUACUGCUUCAGCUGCUAGAGAAUCCUUAGAUGGAAGGAGCAUCCCAAGUUACUUGCUUCCGGAGCAUGUAACAUCCUGCUGCCUGCAAAUUUCUUUUUCUACACAUAAGGAUUUGAACAUCAUGUUUUAGUCAAACCGCAGCAGGUAAUGCCCAUAAUUUGUUUUCAUGGAGUUAUUCAUUAUUAUUUCUGAUGUAAGAUCCAUCCUUUUGUCCCAUGUUCUCUUAAGUUUGAUCAUUCACUACUUUAUGGUGUUCUUGCCUGAACAGUUCUCGAUGUGAUGCCAUAACAUGAUUUGUUUUUCAACUUCAUUCUUCAUGGCUCAGUCUGAGUUGUCACUAUAGAACAUUAUUCAUGUGGAUGUUUUUUUUCCUCCUAUAUUUCUGCUGAAAAGUAGUAAUACACCAAUGCUACCUGAAGCUAAAUGCUUGUCACUGAUGGUCUUAUUUCGUUGCUAGAGAGUAGAGACAUCUGUAAUUCACUUGAGUUGGUCAAAUUUGUUAACGAGUAUGUGCAAAGGUAGUCUUUUGGAUACAAAGUGUUGCCUAUCACUUUCUAAAUUUCUGGAUAUUGAUCUGAUUCAAGUUUUUAAAAUAUUAAUAGUAUAGAGCAACUGGUAAAGGUUUCAGUUUGUCAGGUUGUCUCUUGCCUGCUCAUGGAUUCAACAGGCAGUUCAAAAGGUUGACCUAUUUGGGAAUCUCUGGAUCUAUGCUUCAGUUACAAGAUCAACACAUCCACAAGCAUCUGUUGUUCAAGCUGAAAUGCUGGAGUGGAGUCCACUGUCACGGCCAACAUGUGACUAAAUUUCCUCACUACAAUCUACACCCUGUAGUGUUGGCAUCCUCGACUCCACUAUAAGUCUCGUCUUUUUAUCUUUUACAGUAGUAUUUUUACGGACGAAUCAAACCGAACAUCAACUCGGGAUCAGGUGAUUACUUUAGCAGCAGUAUAUUCUCUAGCCUUGCUUUGCUAUUUUCAUAAAAACAUCUUGUGUUUUAUUUAUUACCAGGCACAUAUAGUAAUGUUUUAGGCAUGAUCAAUGAAACUCAAGUCCUGCUUAGUCUACUUCCUCCCACUCGCAUUCCCAUCUCAUUGUUCUGUUACACCAAAGACAGAUGGAUUUUAAAAGGUGUUACAAACGCUACCACAUUGACAUGUGACUUUACUCUGUUUUUCAGGUAGCAUGCUCGCUACUCUACCACCACUGAUCCAUAUCUUUCAAGUCAUUGUAUUACUAUUUUGCAGGCCAUCGACUAGAACAAAGAUCUUUCUAGAGAAUCAUAUUGUUGAUUCAGAAAUUUCUCUUACAACCACUGUAAAUUUGGUGUGUGUUUCGUCUUUAUAUAUGUGCUUUUGGAGAAAGCUGAUAGGCUAAAUUGUUUGGGUUCUAGGCAGUAGCUAGAAAGAGACUUGGAAGCUGAGAAAAGCUGCUGCAAUAUAUUGCAAGAACUUAUCUCACACCAUUUCAAACUCGCUCGCUUCUUUCUUUUCUACAUACAUUCAUAGUACAUCGAUAUGUGCUCCAAUUUAUAAAAUUUUAAGCGAAAUUUCUUGUGGAUGGUGACCACUACCAAGUCUGGAUCGUGAGUAGUACUUGGGAGAUACUAAUCAUUGUUUGGUAUACUAAAAUAAUCUGUUGUGGUUCUAUGCAUUCAGAAUAUGUGUUCAUGAUUUUAUUUUUGAGGAAUUGGAUGAUGUGUUGUUUACUAUCCUCGGGGCUACAUGGUGUGGGCUGUGAAGGCCGGCUGAUGUACAUAGAGAGGCUAGAGAAGGUGUCCUAGAGUUUGAGAGAGCUUUUAGGGAGAGGUUCUCUGCCUACACAUUAGCUGCUAAGAGGCAUAUUGACUCCACUACCAUCUUCGAUGUCCAAG